ACUUUAAUUGAAGAGUUUGAUCAUGGCUCAGAUUGAACGCUGGCGGCAGGCCUAACACAUGCAAGUCGAGCGGUAACAUUUCAAAAGCUUGCUUUUGAAGAUGACGAGCGGCGGACGGGUGAGUAAUGCCUGGGAAUUUGCCCAUUUGUGGGGGAUAACAGUUGGAAACGACUGCUAAUACCGCAUACGCCCUA
rnacentral:rRNA from 1 species